CGCGUAGGUGGUUUGUUAAGUUGGAUGUGAAAGCCCCGGGCUCAACCUGGAAACUGCAUCCAAAACUGGCAAGCUAGAGUACGGUAGAGGGUGGUGGAAUUUCCUGUGUAGCGGUGAAAUGCGUAGAUAUAGGAAGGAACACCAGUGGCGAAGGCGACCACCUGGACUGAUACUGACACUGAGGUGCGAAAGCGUGGGGAAGCAAACA
rnacentral:rRNA from 1 species